UUUGGUAUUGGCAGUGAAGGCAAGAGCAAGUUGUGAUGACAGUGUAUAUAUUUACUUGUGCAUCCAAGCUGAUUCAGAAGUCUUUCUAAAGGUUCAAGGAAUUAAACUUCCCUUGUAUGCCCCAGAGGUCUAGUUUUAAGCAAUUACUAAACGAUGCCUGUAGCAGACCUUGACCAGAAGCACAGUGUCCAAAAUGGCAGGAUUCCUGCAUUCCAUUGCAAAGGCCCCUAUGUCACACAUUACUUCUGAUCUGUGUUCAAUUAAGUCAAGCACCCAUUUUAUAAACAUGCAAUUUUUGUAAGCUCUUGACUUGAAAACAUAUUUUCAAAAUUAAACUUUACUGGUUGUUAGCUAUGUACUUUCCAAUGCCAGAAAGUGGGCAGUGCAUGUUGUGCAAUGCAAGGUGUCACUGCCUGGGAAACUAGGAGGUACAGGUUUCAGUGCUGGUGCUCAGAUAUUUCAUGUACACUGAUUGUAGCAGUGUAUAUGGUGAAGGUUAGCUGCAUUAUCCUUGACUAACUGGGCUAUGCAGACUGUGGCUACCUUAGCAGAACAAGGCAGGUCACCAUAGGGAUGCCUCUGGAAAGACUGCAUUCCCUCAAGUAAUAAUCAGGUCAUCAGCCAGCUUCCAAACUUAUUAUGUAAAGGCUUAAAAACAAAACAAAGGUGCAGACUAUUUUGAAAAAGCUUCAUUUAAAAAAAUAAGGUAAGAAUUCUAGCUCAUAUCCAAGAAGUCUUUUAAGUGCCUGACUUACGUACAAAGAGAAACAACUAAGGGGAUCAUAUGUCUUAAGCUGUCCACAUGAUAAGACAAAUCUCCUCAGUGUCACAGAAAAGUCAAAUACUGCAGACCUGCUAGACCUACCUGACUGAUGUAGACCAGACCUACUAUUGUUGGGCUAUGAGUGAAGUUUUCUGCCUUCCCUUCAACAAUGCUAGUCACUCCAUGCAUCCCUCAAAUAUGCUUGCAGGCAUUCACAGUUAUUUGCACAGGCUGUAUUGUCCCAGCAAGUCUGAAGUAAUGUAUCUUUGCGUAUUGUGAGCAUAUCCAGACCUGUUUUGUGUGUGUGCAGAAAGACGCUUCAGGCUUCACUCAAACAGUAGUGGUAUCACGUUCUAAAGCAGUUCAGCAUUUUGCUGAAGGUAACAGUCACAGCAAAGCUACUCCUCAUCCCUGAAAAACAGCAGGCACAGCUUGGAAUGUUGCAAAAACAUAGAUAUUGCAGAUGGUGUAUGCUGUUCUGGAGAUCUUUUGUAGCCCACACACCAUUGCCAGCAGCUUGCUCCAGAGCUCUGGCCUUGCCUAUGGGGGAGAUUAAGUUUUCAGCUUGUUUCAACACAGACAUAACAUGUGGUGAAGAUUGAAUCUUUUUUCUUGUGGCUUGACAUAUUUUCAGGUGAUUGUCUGAAGCAAAGCAAACACAAAAACCAUAGGAAAAAAGACAAUGCAGACACUGACACAUGGUGAUGGCAUUUGGCUGCCAGUUCUGACAGUAAUAAUGGAAAGUUGGAUCUGGCAUAAGAACUCGUUCUCACCUCAAGCUGUAACUUACCUUUGACAUUUAAUUUGUGUUUCUCAGUGUAUUUGUAUGUGCUCUGAAGAAAUCUAAAUCUUGGGGAAGAUAUCUAAAAGAAAAUGCCAAGUUGCAGACACUUUUUUUUUUUUUUCAUAUUCCAUCUCUCUCUCACAUGUAUAUUCACAACCUUUUUGCAAUAGAAAAGCAAAAUAGAUUUAUUAAGUUAGAUCAGAGGUACUGACAAAUUAACAUGAAGAAUUCAGGAGUGGAUACUAUUCAUGGCUGAAGGCUAGAGAUAUUACUACCUCAUGAGUUGCCUCCCAAGGGGCAGGGGAAGAACUCCAUCAGCAUUUUGUCAUCAGUUUGGUUUCUUCUAUUAAGAUGGAUGAAUUUAAAGGCUCCCUUGUCCUUCCCCCAACAACCAACAGGCAGCAUAAAGAACAGUAUUGACAGUCAUUCUGCAGAGCCAUAAAAGAAAAUAUCUGCCACAAGACAGUAUAAUGAGAUUAUCGUCUAUAGUUUUUGUACCCUAUGAACUUGCAUUGUAGUUACGUGCUCACAGUGUUGGAAGCCUGCAGUGCUGCUACAAAAAUAACACUGCUGAAUCCGGUGUAUUAAUGUUUUGUUAAUACCAUGCACACACACGCUACUCUGUAGGCUACAGCUAUGAGCUGCUGUGUGAAAGCAAUGAAACACUCUGAAUAGCAUUUGAUUGUCAAAGAGCAAUGAGCAUAAGCUUGCAACUAAGAAGUGUUGCUUUUUUUAAUUAAAAUGUUGUAGCAACAACAAAAGAUCCCUAAAAUUAACCAGAGUUUAAACAGCUAUUUGACUGACAACCAAGGCUGUUUAUCUCCAGCAUGUCUGUUAUAAAAAAUAAAAUUUCUCACCCCCUCCUCUCCUGACACCUCAGUAACUUUGUUAAGAAAACAAAAUUCUUUCUUGGUAGAAAGAAUUCUUGAGUAACAGACAUGCCAGUAUUCUACUGGUUGUUGGCACAUUACCCACCUCCUCUAGAGAUUUCUUAUUUUACAUUUUCCAAGAAAACAUAGUUGUCUGUGGGUGUAUUUACAUUUUCCUUCACCAGUCUUCCCAUUCAACAUACAGAGAGCGUAAAAUAGUGGAGCUCAUUGAAAUGCCAGGCUGUGCUCGUUUGGUAUGCACUGUUCUAAUUCAGUUUAAGAUGAAACGGUAAAACCUAUCCUAGUUUCCAAUGUAAAGGAAACCAAACCUGUAGUACUAUUAAAUAAUCAAAUCAUUAUCAUGAAUAAGCAACUGGGAAAAGAGGGAGGGGGGGCAAUCUUUUGUAUGUAAAUAAGCUACAGCUUCAUGGUUGAAAGCAUGCUGUUGCUCUUCCAGCAUUGACGUUCUACUGCAGAAAGCAAGAGUGAAUUUUUGUUACAAUUGGACCCUUUAUUCUAGUUCAGAGUAAGUAAUAUAUUGUACAUUCCCCGUAAGUUAAAAUGGUGAAUUAUAUGGUGCUAACUAUUGGUAUGAAGGUGAUACAGACUUACUUGACUCAACUUAAAAAUAAAAAGAAGUGUAUUUGGGGAAUAAUUAAGUGCUAUCUGGCUCUUCUCUAUUGCUAAAAAGUCAACUGUGAAUUGAGUUUUGUUCAGAUUAACAUGAAGCUGCUUAUAAAAGGUUUCUUGUUCUUACAUAAUCUUAGCAGACCCCAGUUUAUAGUAAAAUAUUCUCCCACUGUCCAAAGUUUAUAUGGUUCUAUCAUCUGAUAUUUCUAUUCUCUUGUUAGCUAUGAGACAACUUACUGUUAUAAAUCUUACUUACAAAGUUUCUAAUGUAAAGGUGUAAUCUUUUGAGCUCUCAAAUCAGAUAAAAUGUUAAAUUCAAAAAAUGUGAGAACCUCAGCCAUAAAAUUGUUACUAUGAUGUUUAUGUUAUUUUAAACAUUUAAUAAAACAAAAUAUUUUAAAACU